AUUUAAAUAGCUUAUAAAGAGUUUAAUAUUGAAAAUAUUAAGGUAAUUUUUUAAAAAUUUUUAAAUA
rnacentral:tRNA from 1 species